rnacentral:sRNA from 1 species
GGCAUUGGAGUGAUGCUGGGCCCUGCUAACUCACCAUGUGACCCUAGGCCUUAGUGUACCCUGAGCAGGCUGUGCUCUAGGGCCCCAGGGCCAGCCCACAGCCUGUGACUGCUCUGUCCUGCCUGUAGUGGCCCUGAAUUUCCAGACACCUGGGCCAGAGAUGGACGUGUACCAGGGCCGCUUCCAGGACAACGGGGCCUGUGGGUACGUGCUGAAGCCCGCCUUCCUGCGAGACCCCAACGGCACCUUUAACCCCCGCGCCCUGGCUCAGGGGCCCUGGUGGGCACGGAAGCGGCUCAACAUCAGGGUCAUUUCGGGGCAGCAGCUGCCAAAAGUCAACAAGAAUAAGAAUUCAAUUGUGGACCCCAAAGUGACAGUGGAGAUCCAUGGCGUGAGCCGGG